GCGUCAAUAGUGCAGCGAGUUAAAGCAUGCGUUCCCUGAUAGGGUGAAAUGCGGGUUCGAGUCUCGCCUGACGCA